rnacentral:lncRNA from 1 species
AACAUCUUUUGUACAAAAAUACAUAUGCACACAAAAAGGGCUCCCUAGGAGUACCUAGGACACUUUGGGUGCUAACACCUUCCCUCUGUGUAACCAACCCCCUUACCUGUAAUCUCUGGCAUUUUAUUAGUUUUGAUUUACACAAAAAGGGCUCCCUAGGAGUACCUAGGACACUUUGGGUGCUAACACCUUCCCUCUGUGUAACCAACCCCCUUACCUGUAAUCUCUGGCAUUUUAUUAGUUUUGAUUUGAAAACUUCUUAUCUUUUUG